rnacentral:rRNA from 1 species
UACAGAGGGUGCAAGCGUUAAUCGGAAUUACUGGGCGUAAAGGGCGCGUAGGCGGUUCUUUAAGUUGGAUGUGAAAUCCCUGGGCUUAACCUAGGAACUGCAUCCAAAACUGGAGAACUCGAGUGCAGUAGAGGAUAGUGGAAUUUCCGGUGUAGCGGUGAAAUGCGUAGAUAUCGGAAGGAACACCAGUGGCGAAGGCGGCUAUCUGGACUGACACUGACGCUGAGGCGCGAGAGCGUGGGGAGCAAACAGG